GACCGCGUAGCUCAGUUGGCAGAGCAUUGGGUUAGUAUUCCAAAGGUCGUAGGUUCGAAUCCCACCGUGGCCG
rnacentral:tRNA from 1 species